UCGAUGUCGCAUCCGAGAUACCGGACCAU
rnacentral:sRNA from 1 species